GAUGAACGCUGGCGGCGUGCCUAAUACAUGCAAGUCGAGCGAACAGAUGAGGAGCUUGCUCCUCUGACGUUAGCGGCGCACGGGUGAGUAACACGUGGAUAACCCACCUAUAAGACUGGGAUAACUUCGGGAAACCGGCGAUAACACCGUAUAAUAUAUUGAAGCGUAUUGUUCAAUAGUGAAAGACGGCUUUGCUGUCUCUUAUCGAUGGAUCCGCGCCGCAUUAGCUAGUUGGGAAGGUCACGGCUUACCAAGGCAACGAAGCGUAGCCGACGUGAGAGGGUGGUCGGCCACACUGGAGCGGGGACACGGACCAGAGUCCUACGGGAGGCAGCAGUAGGGAAUCUUACGCAAAGGGCGGAAGCAUGACGGAGCAACCGCGCGUGUGUGAUGAAGGUCUUCGGAGCGUAAAACUCUGUUACGAGGGAAGAACAAAUGUGUAAGUAAAUAUGCACGUCUUGACGGUACCUAAUCAGAAAGCCACGGCUAACUACGUG
rnacentral:rRNA from 1 species